GAAUCUAGCUUCAGGUCGGGGAAACAGUUGGAAACGACUGCUAAUACCGGAUGUGCCGAGAGGUGAAAGGUUAACUGCCUGAAGAUGAGCUCGCGUCUGAUUAGCUAGUUGGUGUGGUAAGAGCGCACCAAGGCGACGAUCAGUAGCUGGUCUGAGAGGAUGAUCAGCCACACUGGGACUGAGACACGGCCCAGACUCCUACGGGAGGCAGCAGUGGGGAAUUUUCCGCAAUGGGCGAAAGCCUGACGGAGCAAUACCGCGUGAGGGAGGAAGGCUCUUGGGUUGUAAACCUCUUUUCUCAGGGAAGAAAAAAAUGACGGUACCUGAGGAAUAAGCAUUGGCUAACUCCGUGCCAGCAGCCGCGGUAAUACGG
rnacentral:rRNA from 1 species